CAUACAUGUUCUAUAAAAUAAGUGCUUGAACUAAAUAAUACAAUUUUUUAUUUUGUUUGUUUAUUAAUUAUUAACGUUACGUUUUAAUGCUGUGUAAGUGUUUUCUGGGCUUUUGUGCAGUAACAUAAAUAAUGUUCAAUUUAGGAGCUUUAUAAGAAUGAUUUGCAUUGCAAUUGGAAUAACGCCAUUAGACUUUACUAAUCAAUGUACAUCAAUUGUCUAUGAUAAAUUUGCUUAUAAACUGGGUUCUCUACUGACAUUGGGUACGGCCCCAAACACUUACGAGGAUAAGAUUCUAGAUGGUGUUUAUCAAUUCGUGAAAGGUUGGUUUCAGUUGUCUAAUGAAGCUCCACUUACAAUGGAUCAUUUUAAAUUGUUCGUGAAUGAUUCUCUUUGUUAUACAAAUAUAAUAGACAAUUAUAUAAAGAAUGCCGGAGCUGAAAGCAAAAAUAUAGACAAUAUAAACAGUAUACAAUUUAGGAUUCUUAUAAAAACAAUUUGCAAUGUGAUCAAAAUGACUCCAUUGGACUUCACUGAUCAAUGUAAAGCAUUGAUCAAGAAUAAAUAUGGAAAAACCACAUCAUAACGGUAUCAAGCAACCGUAUAAGUUUAUAGUCUAAUGAUACCUAGAAUUGUAAUUUACUCAAAUUUAAAUUAUGAUAAAAUUUAGCAAUUUAUUUGUUUUCCUUUUUUAUCCACUUAUAUAAUUAUUAUUAUUAAAAGUUGUUUUAAAAAUUCAUAAGAAAUAUAAAUUUUUCUAGUUAAAUAUGUGUUUUAAUAAUAAAAUAUAAAA